rnacentral:rRNA from 1 species
CAGUAGCCACGGUAAUACGUAGGUGGCAAGCGUUGUCCGGAAUUAUUGGGCGUAAAGGGCUCGCAGGCGGUUUCUUAAGUCUGAUGUGAAAGCCCCCGGCUCAACCGGGGAGGGUCAUUGGAAACUGGGAAACUUGAGGGCAGAAGAGGAGAGUGGAAUUCCACGUGUAGCGGUGAAAUGCGUAGAGAUGUGGAGGAACACCAGUGGCGAAGGCGACUCUCUGGUCUGUAACUGACGCUGAGGAGCGAAAGCGUGGGGAGCGAACAGGAUUAGAUACCCCCGUAGUCCCUGUCUCUUAUAC